rnacentral:rRNA from 1 species
UACGGAGGGUGCAAGCGUUGUCCGGAUUUAUUGGGUUUAAAGGGUGCGUAGGUGGCCCUGUAAGUCCGUGGUGAAAGCCUGUAGCUUAACUACAGAACUGCCAUGGAUACUGCAGGGCUUGAGUCCAGACGAGGUUGGCGGAAUAGAAGGUGUAGCGGUGAAAUGCAUAGAUACCUUCUAGAACCCCGAUUGCGUAGGCAGCUGACUAGGCUGGUACUGACACUGAGGCACGAAAGCGUGGGGAGCAAACAGG